rnacentral:rRNA from 1 species
AACCACAGCCAUAUCACCCUGCAGCCCAAGACCGGUUACUCACUGAAGCUAAGCAGGGCUGAACCUGGUCAGUACCUAUGGGAGAUCACAUGGAAAAACUAGGUUGCUGUUGAAA